GCUGAGCUACAGCUCAGUGGUAGAGUGCCUGCCUAGCAUGCAUGAGGCACUGGGUUCCAUCCUCAUUAUUCUGUC
rnacentral:tRNA from 1 species